rnacentral:rRNA from 1 species
CAUCACGGGGUAGCAAUACUCUGGUGGCGACCGGCGCACGGGUGAGUAACACGUAUGCAACCUACCCUGUACAGGGGGAUAACCCGGAGAAAUUCGGACUAAUACCCCAUGAAUAUACCGAGAGGCAUCUUUUGGUAUUUAAAGCUCAGGCGGUACGGGAUGGGCAUGCGGAACAUUAGCUAGUUGGCAGGGUAACGGCCUACCAAGGCUACGAUGUUUAGGGGACCUGAGAGGGUGAUCCCCCACACUGGUACUGAGACACGGACCAGACUCCUACGGGAGGCAGCAGUGAGGAAUAUUGGUCAAUGGGCGCAAGCCUGAACCAGCCAUCCCGCGUGCAGGAAGACGGCCCUAUGGGUUGUAAACUGCUUUUCCAGGGGGUGAAACUCCCGGUCGUGACCGGGAUUGACGGUACCCUGGGAAUAAGCAUCGGCUAACUCCGUGCCAGCAGCCGCGGUAAUACGGAGGAUGCGAGCGUUAUCCGGAUUUAUUGGGUUUAAAGGGUGCGUAAGCGGAUCAAUAAGUCAGUGGUGAAACCCUGCAGCUUAACUGUAGACUUGCCGUUGAUACUGUUGGUCUUGAGUGUGGUCAAGGUAGGCGGAAUGUGUAAUGUAGCGGUGAAAUGCUUAGAUAUUACACAGAACACCGAUUGCGAAGGCAGCUUGCUGGACCAUUACUGACGCUGAUGCACGAAAGCGUGGGGAUCGAACAGGAUUAGAUACCCUGGUAGUCCACGCCGUAAACGAUGAUCACUCGCUGUUGGCGAUACACAGUCAGCGGCUAAGCAAAAGCAUUAAGUGA